GACGAACGCUGGCGGCGUGCUUAACACAUGCAAGUCGAACGGAAAGGCCCUGCUUUUGUGGGUUGCUCGAUUGGCGAACGGGUGAGUAACACGUGAAUAACCUGCCCUUGACUUUGGGAUAACUUCAGGAAACUGGGGCUAAUACCGGAUAGGAGCUCCUGCUGCAUGGUGGGGGUUGGAAAGUUUCGGCGGUUGGGGAUGGACUCGCGGCUUAUCAGCUUGUUGGUGGGGUAGUGGCUUACCAAGGCUUUGACGGGUAGCCGGCAUGAGAGGGUGACCGGCCACAUGGGGACUGCGAUACGGCCCAGACUCCUACGGGAGGCAGUAGUGGGGAAUAUUGCAGAAUGGGCGGAAGCCUGAUGCAGCAACGCCGCGUGCGGGAUGAUGGCCUUCGGGUUGUAAACAGCUUUCGAAUGUGACGAAGCGUGAGUGACGGUAAUGGGUAAAGAAGCACCGGCUAACUACGUG
rnacentral:rRNA from 1 species